rnacentral:lncRNA from 1 species
UAUUGUUUUGGCAAUGAUAAGAUUUUGUAAAGCUGCUUAAAUCUAAAUGUGAAAUAUGUGAGGGAGAGGGGAAUGAGAGUAAAUACAUAACCGUGUGUGAGAGACACCACCUUGUGGCCAUACAGCAGUAUUACAUUCGCACUACGCGCGUCCCCGUGCGUGUUCUUGGCGGUGGACGCUCGCGAGGGGUCGUGUUUCUAUAACUGUCACAUAGAAAAUACAGACAAAAUAUUAGAUCGUUUUAAUUCACCUUACUCGACUUGUGUAUUAAAAUACACUAAAUUGACCGUAAUAUGGAGCAGUCUGUUGUCAAUGUAAAAAACCUGUCAGAGAAACUUCUCCAGGUGAUUAUUUGAGACUCUCUUCAAAGCGAUUUCAACUCUAGAUGCAGCAGCAAACCUACAGGAUUCACAGAUGGCGAGGAAAAUGGGAAAAACAUGGCUCGAUUGUAAACAACCCAAAGCUGCUGAUGAUUUUUUGAGCCUUGCUGUCAGUAGCCUGGAGAUUCUGCAGAAGAUACAAACACACCAAAGGGAGACAUAGAGAAAGACUUGCUGCCGGUUUUGUCUUAUCAAGCUGAAUCUGUGAGCAGAGAUUGCUGAGCAUAUCCAGUGAUUAU